rnacentral:rRNA from 1 species
AGCGCAGACGGUUAUUUAAGUCUGAAGUGAAAGCCCUCAGCUCAACUGAGGAAUGGCUUUGGAAACUGGAUGACUUGAGUGCAGUAGAGGAAAGUGGAACUCCAUGUGUAGCGGUGAAAUGCGUAGAUAUAUGGAAGAACACCAGUGGCGAAGGCGGCUUUCUGGACUGUAACUGACGUUGAGGCUCGAAAGUGUGGGUAGCAAACA